CACUCUGGAGGAACCUAACCCUAACGCCCCUAACCCUAACGCCCUAAAUUGUUAUUGUUCUGUAUCCUCCCAACCCAACAACGGCUACAUUCACCACCGCCCCCGCCCCACGCCCACGCCCACGCCCACGCCCAACGAAUCGACAGCGGGAGUGAAGGCUUCAUCAGAUGAACUGCUAAGGAAAUUUGCGGAAGUGGGUUCGGGAUCCAAAGACAAGGCCACCGCGAGGAAAGAGCUUUCGCAGUUGGCAAAACGACGCCGCUACCACCGGGAAAAAAUCACCGGAGAAAAUGACGAUGAUGAUGAGCGGUACUGUGAGAGCCCCUCCACCUCCUCCUUAAGCCGCCGGGCCAGUUUGGUUGAGAGGAAAUCGCUUCUUCCUGCUGUGGCGGCAUCCACCCCACCCAGAUGUCGUCUGCGCUGAUUCAGCGGCUGGGGAUUGGGAUUGGGAGGUCACGGCUUAGGUCGAGGGAUUUCAAGAACAUGUCCAUUUUCGCCACAAUUGACAAGCAAAAUCAUAGAAGAAAUAAUAAUACAUAUUGGGAGCAACUAGAAUGGAAAGAACCCUCCUUGUGUGACUGCUUAGCAAAUUGGGAGCAACUUUUGUCAUAAGAGACAACAAAUCAAGUUUGGGGAACCUGGAGCGGAUGCUUGCCGGAAUUGAUUGGAACUUUAAUAGCUAUGGAGGUUAGGCUGUAGAAUAUGUAUUUAUAAUUUCUACUAUGUUAAAUUAUUUAAUAUUCCCUUAGAACUUUCUGAAAGUGCCACAGUUGGGUCUUUGGCAAGAACUAAUGAAUCGUAUAACUUGUAACUACUCUUUUUUAGCAAUCCAUUUAUUCAGCAAUUUAUCGAGUGUAUGCAAACAUGAUUUAACCAUUGCUUCCUUGCUGGAAUAUUGAUAACUGAUGCAUAUUUGUAAAUAAUGAUGCUUUUGAACAAUAAUCAAUUGUAAGAUUCCAAAGCUUUUUCUUGUCCAUUAGUUGGGUUACCCUUGCGCUGGAACCACAAAAUACUGCUAAUCAUUGUCCUGAUUAAGUGUUGCUUGAUACUUGAUAUCAUCGCCUAUACUUUGGUGCAGUUACUAACAAAUAGCAUCAGUUUCCAUCUAUUAUUGCUGUAUAGUUUUUUGCUUUGAGAAAAGUAAAAUUCUAUUCUAUUGAUCUAUCUAAAU